UACGUAGGGGGCAAGCGUUGUCCGGAUUUAUUGGGCGUAAAGAGCUCGUAGGCGGCUCGGUAAGUCGGGUGUGAAACCUCCAGGCUCAACCUGGAGACGCCACCUGAUACUGCUGUGGCUAGAGUCCGGUAGGGGAGCGUUGGAAUUCCUGGUGUAGCGGUGAAAUGCGCAGAUAUCAGGAGGAACACCAGCGGCGAAGGCGGCGCUCUGGGCCGGAACUGACGCUGAGGAGCGAAAGCGUGGGUAGCAAACAGG
rnacentral:rRNA from 1 species